rnacentral:lncRNA from 1 species
GUAACUCGGGCGGGGAGGGUGAAGGUGGCAGACCCCCACUGCCCCACCCCCUACGGGGUGAGGCGGUCUAAGCUCGGGAAGCUGGGACACUGUUGUCUUCCUUUCCCCUGGGGAAGUUGGUAGAGUUUUCCCGACGGAGGACUCGGCGCAGAAACUUCCUCCGUCCUCCUCCCCCCCACCCCAUGCAGGCGACGCCGAGUGAGGCUGAGGCUGGGGGCGAAUCGCCGCAGAGCUGCGUGUCGGCGGCGCAUUCUGAUUGGACAGCGGGGAAGCCCGUCAGCCUGUUGGCCCCGCUGAUCCCGCCCCGUAGCGCAGGGCAGCCUUUAACCUUUAGCCCCAGUGGGCGCCAGCCACUCAGAUCGCUUCUUGUUGGUAUGUGUAGCGGCAGUGGCCGCCGGCGGAGCAGUCUGAGCCCGACGAUGAGGCCGGGGACGGGAGCUGAGCGUGGAGGCCUCAUGAUGGGGCACCCUGGCAUGCAUUAUGCCCCAAUGGGAAUGCACCCUAUGGGUCAGAGAGCGAAUAUGCCUCCUGUACCUCAUGGAAUGAUGCCGCAGAUGAUGCCCCCUAUGGGAGGGCCACCAAUGGGACAAAUGCCUGGAAUGAUGUCGUCAGUAAUGCCUGGAAUGAUGAUGUCUCAUAUGUCUCAGGCUUCCAUGCAGCCUGCCUUACCGCUAAACUAAACGGAUAUUCACUCUGAAGUGGGAUAAAUGAAGAUGUGGAGUUUCAUGUUCAUGUAGGGCAGGUUUUGCCACUAUAGUGAGUUUUGGUACCAUACUUGAAAAAAGUUGGUUUUCAGAGGGUUUUGGUUUCCAGAAUUGUGGGUAAAGGAUUGAGGACCUUGUGUACACUUGGUGACCAUAUAACAUUUAAACUACUCCCGAAGUCUCGGUUGCUGAUCUCUUUUACAAUUUAUAGCAAGUUCGGGGAACUGAGACCACUAAAAGUUUUGCUAAGAAUCUGAGUCAGAGGCUUGAGGAUUAUACAUAGCAGGUACUGAUUUCACUGUGCUUUAUGAGGAACUUAUAUAAAAUACACUUUUAAAAAGAUGAAUAAUACUAAUUUCAUUUUUCUUCUUAC